rnacentral:rRNA from 1 species
UACGUAGGGGGCAAGCGUUGUCCGGAUUUACUGGGCGUAAAGAGCGCGUAGGCGGAAGCUUAAGUGUGGCCUGAAAGCCCCCGGCUCAACCGGGGAGGGUGGCUGCAAACUGGGCUUCUUGAGGGCGGCAGAGGAGAGUGGAAUUCCUGGUGUAGCGGUGAAAUGCGUAGAGAUCAGGAGGAACAUCAGUUGCGAAGGCGGCUCUCUGGACCAGCACUGACACUGAGGCACGAAAGCGUGGGGAGCAAACAGG